rnacentral:rRNA from 1 species
AAAUUGAAGAGUUUGAUCAUGGCUCAGAUUGAACGCUGGCGGCAGGCCUAACACAUGCAAGUCGAACGGUAGCACAGAGAGCUUGCUCUCGGGUGACGAGUGGCGGACGGGUGAGUAAUGUCUGGGAAACUGCCUGAUGGAGGGGGAUAACUACUGGAAACGGUGGCUAAUACCGCAUAACGUCGCAAGACCAAAGAGGGGGACCUUCGGGCCUCUUGCCAUCAGAUGUGCCCAGAUGGGAUUAGCUAGUUGGUGAGGUAACGGCUCACCAAGGCGACGAUCCCUAGCUGGUCUGAGAGGAUGACCAGCCACACUGGAACUGAGACACGGUCCAGACUCCUACGGGAGGCAGCAGUGGGGAAUAUUGCACAAUGGGCGCAAGCCUGAUGCAGCCAUGCCGCGUGUAUGAAGAAGGCCUUCGGGUUGUAAAGUACUUUCAGCGGGGAGGAAGGUGUUGCGGUUAAUAACCGCAGCAAUUGACGUUACCCGCAGAAGAAGCACCGGCUAACUCCGUGCCAGCAGCCGCGGUAAUACGGAGGGUGCAAGCGUUAAUCGGAAUUACUGGGCGUAAAGCGCACGCAGGCGGUCUGUCAAGUCGGAUGUGAAAUCCCCGGGCUCAACCUGGGAACUGCAUUCGAAACUGGCAGGCUUGAGUCUUGUAGAGGGGGGUAGAAUUCCAGGUGUAGCGGUGAAAUGCGUAGAGAUCUGGAGGAAUACCGGUGGCGAAGGCGGCCCCCUGGACAAAGACUGACGCUCAGGUGCGAAAGCGUGGGGAGCAAACAGGAUUAGAUACCCUGGUAGUCCACGCCGUAAACGAUGUCUACUUGGAGGUUGUGCCCUUGAGGCGUGGCUUCCGGAGCUAACGCGUUAAGUAGACCGCCUGGGGAGUACGGCCGCAAGGUUAAAACUCAAAUGAAUUGACGGGGGCCCGCACAAGCGGUGGAGCAUGUGGUUUAAUUCGAUGCAACGCGAAGAACCUUACCUGGUCUUGACAUCCACAGAACUUUCCAGAGAUGGAUUGGUGCCUUCGGGAACUGUGAGACAGGUGCUGCAUGGCUGUCGUCAGCUCGUGUUGUGAAAUGUUGGGUUAAGUCCCGCAACGAGCGCAACCCUUAUCCUUUGUUGCCAGCGAUUAGGUCGGGAACUCAAAGGAGACUGCCAGUGAUAAACUGGAGGAAGGUGGGGAUGACGUCAAGUCAUCAUGGCCCUUACGACCAGGGCUACACACGUGCUACAAUGGCGCAUACAAAGAGAAGCGACCUCGCGAGAGCAAGCGGACCUCAUAAAGUGCGUCGUAGUCCGGAUUGGAGUCUGCAACUCGACUCCAUGAAGUCGGAAUCGCUAGUAAUCGUGGAUCAGAAUGCCACGGUGAAUACGUUCCCGGGCCUUGUACACACCGCCCGUCACACCAUGGGAGUGGGUUGCAAAAGAAGUAGGUAGCUUAACCUUCGGGAGGGCGCUUACCACUUUGUGAUUCAUGACUGGGGUGAAGUCGUAACAAGGUAACCGUAGGGGAACCUGCGGUUGGAUCACCUCCUUA